GUGAAUCAUCGAAUCUUUGAACGCAAAUUGCACUCUCCGGUUUUCCGGGAGAGUAUGCCUGUUUGAGGGUCAGCCUAAAAAAAAUCGACAUUGUUGCUGUUAUUUAAUGGUGACUUUCGUCGGAGAUUGGGUUAUCUUAAACCCUUUUUUUUUUUUGGUUAAGAGAGUUUAAAAUUUUUUUUUCAAGUUUAUUAACGGUU
rnacentral:misc_RNA from 1 species